rnacentral:lncRNA from 1 species
AAAAAUAUACAAGGAAAUUAAUAUUCACAACAAUUAAGCAGAAAUGAUCAUAUUAUUGAAAAGUAUUAAAAGAUAAUUCUAGUUUUAUCAUAUUAUCAUAUAUUGAUUAUAUGAUUUAUGAAUAUGGAAACCCCAAAAUAUAUUAAUGUGAGAGGGAGCCUAGGGCCAAUGCCCCAAAAUUGAUAUGGUGAGCACGGCUCUGUACAAAUGUAACCAUAAAUCUAAAAAUUAUAUUAAAGCUCGCACAACGUGUAAAUCCACCUAGUUAUAUCUUAAAGACAUUUGAUAUUUUUAAUCCUCAACAUUUUAACAUAUUGCUGUUUUUUUGAUUAAAAGGUAUUGGUUUUAUCAUUGUUUUAAACCAAAAAAUUACAAUCUCUUUUUAAGCACAUGGUCCACAAAAAAUUUGAGCAGGGCCUGGUUUCGACACUACCAUGUGUUGAAUAAUUAUGAGUCUGUCCCUCCACAUUCCAUCAUCAGAAAAGAACAUAUAGC